UCNGGAUUUAUCGGGCGUAAAGAGCUUGUAGGUGGUUUGUCGCNUCGGGAGUGAAAACUCAGGGCUUAACUNUGAGCUUGCUUUCGAUACGGGCUGACUUGAGGGAGGUAGGGGAGAAUGGAAUUCNUGGUGGAGCGGUGGAAUGCGCAGAUAUCAGGAGGAACACCGGUGGCGAAGGCGGUUCUCUGGACCUUUCCUGACGCUGAGAAGCGAAAGCGUGGGGAGCGAACAGGCUUAGAUACCCUGGUAGUCCACGCUGUAAACGGUGGGUACUAGGUGUGGGGGACAUUCCACGUUCUCCGUGCCGUAGCUAACGCAUUAAGUACCCCGCCUGGGGAGUACGGCCGCAAGGCUAAAACUCAAAGGAAUUGACGGGGCCCCGCACAAGCGGCGGAGCAUGCGGAUUAAUUCGAUGCAACGCGAAGAACCUUACCUGGGUUUGACAUAUGCCGGGAGCGUUCAGAGAUGGGCGUGCCUUUUUGGUCGGUUUACAGGUGGUGCAUGGCUGUCGUCAGCUCGUGUCGUGAGAUGUUGGGUUAAGUCCCGCAACGAGCGCAACCCUCGUCCAAUGUUGCCAGCGGGUUAUGCCGGGGACUCAUUGGAGACCGCCGGGGUCAACUCGGAGGAAGGUGGGGAUGACGUCAAGUCAUCAUGCCCCUUAUGUCCAGGGCUUCACGCAUGCUACAAUGGCCGGUACAGUGAGCUGCGAGCCUGUGAGGGUGAGCGAAUCUCUAAAAGCCGGUCUCAGUUCGGAUUGGGGUCUGCAACUCGACCCCAUGAAGUCGGAGUCGCUAGUAAUCGCAGAUCAGCAACGCUGCGGUGAAUACGUUCCCGGGGCUUGUACACACC
rnacentral:rRNA from 1 species